rnacentral:rRNA from 1 species
AUUGAACGCUGGCGGCAGGCCUAACACAUGCAAGUCGAACGAGCGGCGGACGGGUGAGUAAUGUAUGGGAAACUGCCCGAUAGAGGGGGAUAACUACUGGAAACGGUGGCUAAUACCGCAUACCAUCGGAUGUACCCAUAUGGGAUUAGCUAGUAGGUGGGGUAAAGGCUCACCUAGGCGACGAUCCCUAGCCGGUCUGAGAGGAUGAUCAGCCACACUGGAACUGAGACACGGUCCAGACUCCUACGGGAGGCAGCAGUGGGGAAUAUUGCACAAUGGGCGCAAGCCUGAUGCAGCCAUGCCGCGUGUAUGAAGAAGGCCUUAGGGUUGUAAAGUACUUUCAGCGGGGAGGCGUUACCCGCAGAAGAAGCACCGGCUAACUCCGUGCCAGCAGCCGCGGUAAUUC